UGCUCUGUGGGAUUGCAUCAACUUCAUGUAUGAAGAGAUAUUUCCACCUUGAAAUCCGAGAAAGGAGAAAAAGCACAGCACAGUUGCUCAGAUGGAGAAAUGAACAGAAGCAGAUGUGUUGUGUGUCGAUAUGAGAUCAGCCUCAGGAAACAGAGCCAAGCGGAGAUGAGAUGAAAGGCAGAAGUGCGCUUAGUCCCACAGCUGUUCAUUGGUCCCAGAAGCAGAAGAGGUUCAGGUUUCUCUUCUCUUCUCCGCCGUGGUUUGGUCAGCGCUCUGCCUGCAGGUUCUGAUGAUUUUAACAGACUCUGACCUCCCUUUUCAGAUGCAUUCAUCACGCCUCUCGUCUGGUCUGCAGAUCGGUAUAAAUGCCAAGCAUAAGGCAGACAGAGCUGCUUCAAUCUUGCCACUCUUUACUUGAACCAGUUCUGAGAUUGAAUCCAGAUUGCUUGCAAAAAGUUGAGUCAUCGGUCCUGAUUCCACUUUGCAUUGUGUAACUAACCUCUGAAUGACGUGGGAUCUCACACAACUUUCUUUUAUAACAAUGAUUCAAAGCUUUUGUCAGGUCAGGAUGUCUACAGGAAAUUUUAAUGGGAGUACAUGGUUUUCACAGGCCCGAUUUAUGGGUAGCUGACGUGAAAUAUUCUUUGGAAAGAUUGCAUGUCCUGCAGUGCGACAUGCUAUACGGCAUGUACAACUAUUUCAGAUGCUUGAUUUAAUACUUUAUAUCAUAUAUAUGUGUGUGUGUGUGUGUGUGUGCCUUUUCCCCUUUGGUCUUAAAGCCCAGCAUAGCCAAUAACUUCCUCUCUUCCUUUUGACUUUUAGUGUAAUAGUUUCCACAUUAGGGUUUAUAGCUUGCGUGUGUAUGCAGACAUGCAGCCAAACAGCCAUUGACACCAGCAGGGACCCUUGUGUCAACUAUCCUUUAGAGAGUACUGGUGGUGUUAAAGAUAAUCUCAUACAUCAUCUGUAACCUGCUUUGAUCCCAUUGGUUAAUUAUGGAAUGGACUGCACAGAAAAAGAAAUCAGAUUUGCUGAAGGGAAAAAUAAAUUUCACUCAUUCAUUCAUUCAUUUGCCAGCAAAAACAUCCCAUCAGUCAAUAUAUUUAGCAUCAUUAAGUGCAGUGGUUCUCAAGUGAGAAGUCGUGACCCAAAUUGUUUGUAGAAGAAAAAAAAAUCAUAGUUUUUGUUGUCAAUGUCAAAGACGUCAAACUUUCGAUGCAAAUUCAUGUGUCACUUGGUAGAAGCUCUACAAAUUAAGCAAAUGCAAUAUGAUCAGGUUGCGUGACAAGUCCCCAUUCUUGAAAACCAAGAACAAAACUACUCAAGGUAAAAGAAAAGAAAAUCCAAACUAUAUUAAAUACAGAUUCAAGUGCGGUGAGCCAGGGAGAGGAAAAGAGCGAGAAUGUGAAGCGGGUAAAUAGUAGGGUGUGGGUCACACAAAAGUGUCUUGAGUUUUAUGUGGACAUUUGGCCUCAGGUUUACUGGCCAGAUCCUCUGACUCUGAGCUCAGCCCAAGGCAGAUGGCCGAAGGGGGUGAUGAACAGGUCAUCAUCUGCAUCCUCCACUGAUCUGACGCCACAUCACACUCUCCAGCUUUCCGAUAAACUAGCACACAGUGUCACCAAAGCUCCACUUGUCCCUAUUACAGCUGACAAAUAGCUCAAGUCAGAAGAAAUUAUUACUUUUUCAGCACCGAAAAAGUCAGAAACAGUCUGGUCCAAACUCAAUUAGUUGAUUUUAGACCUUUUUAGGGGUCUUGAUGAGCUAUCCGACUAACUAUUGUUUACAUAUUGAAUAAAAAAAAUAUAUAUAUUACAUGAGCGACAACAACCAUUGGCAAUUGACAUUGAUAAUGGUCAUAUUAUUGGAUCAAUUAAUUAAUCAUUAUAUAAAGUA